CAACGUGUCGCGAUGGAUGACUCG
rnacentral:rRNA from 1 species